ACUCUGCAGGCAGAGCUAUGGGUGAAGAGCAGCAGGCUGGAGAGCACAGAAAUGGCAUUUUUGGAGCCUGGGUUUAGGUGAUGCAGAAGCAGAGCCACAGCAUCACCAGAAAGAUGGAAAAGAAAAUCUAUAGGAUGAAUCAUUAAAUAAUGAUGAUGAUCACUGUUGCUGGAGAUGGAUAUAAAGGACUAUUAGUCAGUAAAAGGAAAAUAACAAUCAGUCACGAGCAUGUGGUGAGCUUAUGGAGGAGGGAAAUGCACCUCUGGAGGGAGAGAGCUGCUGGGCUGCACAGCCACGGGACGGAUAUGCUCCUGUCCAAGGAUCAUGUACAGGGGAAGGGCUCACUUAGCCCAGCUGGGUCCAAAUGUGAUGAAACCCGUAUUUGAAAGUCAGAUUGUUUCCUCAUCAAAAAACAUAAAUCUGUAAUGACUGAAUGAAUUAAUUUCCAGCUUUGGUUCACUGUUGCUGAAUAACAGCCUCCUGACCCAGCACACCUGCACAGGCCUUCCUUUUUCCAUUUCCCUACACAAAUAAAGCCCAUUGCUUUGUCAAA